rnacentral:rRNA from 1 species
GGACGAACGCUGGCGGCGUGCUUAACACAUGCAAGUCGAACGGAAAGGCCCUGCUUUUGUGGGGUGCUCGAGUGGCGAACGGGUGAGUAACACGUGAGUAACCUGCCCUUGACUUUGGGAUAACUUCAGGAAACUGGGGCUAAUACCGGAUAGGAGCUCCUGCUGCAUGGUGGGGGUUGGAAAGUUUCGGCGGUUGGGGAUGGACUCGCGGCUUAUCAGCUUGUUGGUGGGGUAGUGGCUUACCAAGGCUUUGACGGGUAGCCGGCCUGAGAGGGUGACCGGCCACAUUGGGACUGAGAUACGGCCCAGACUCCUACGGGAGGCAGCAGUGGGGAAUAUUGCACAAUGGGCGGAAGCCUGAUGCAGCAACGCCGCGUGCGGGAUGACGGCCUUCGGGUUGUAAACCGCUUUCGCCUGUGACGAAGCGUGAGUGACGGUGAUGGGUAAAGAAGCACCGGCUAACUACGUG